UUUUUCCCCCGCUCCCUCGCUGUUUCCUUCCCUCGACGCCGAACCCGUGCCCUACUUCUUCCUCCCCCGCGCGCCCGACUGUGCCCUAACAGCCUCUCCCAACCGGCGAUGCAAACCGCAGUUUCCUCUCGCGGAUAAACCCUCGGCCAAGCUCGCUUUCCUCUUCUUCUCCUCUGCCGACGCUGACCCCCUUUCCCUGUGCCCUAGCCGCCAGCCACCGAGAUCUUCUUCUUCCUCUUUCCCCAAGCGUCCACGACGAAUCUGCCACCGCCGAUCCACUGUCACCCUUGUGUGCCGACGCCGCCACUGACUUUUGAUCUGAGCAGCAUCGCCACACCCUUGCCCCGGUGCCCAGCCGUCCAAUUCCGUGCCCUAUUUUGGGUUCACAGUCGGCUGACUCUCCUUCUCCACGCCGAGCCCUAGUUUCCCGAGGCCGAUCUCUUCCUCUUUGCCGAGGUUUUUGUUGCUGCUUUCCACUGCGGACUCACAACCGAUCACCGCCGAUUUCCACACUGCGGCUGAUCGCUACUGUUUCCUUCAUCCGGUCCAGCCCUAGUUCUUCAUUGGUGCCCUAGAUUUGAUCUGCCCAUCUCCGGCUACUCAAGUCAGUGACUCCACCUGGGUUUUAUUUACAGCAACCUCAUGGGCUGUGAGGCUACGAAUGAAUGUUCGGAUGUGGUAUUGAUGUGAGUUUGAUUUGUCUACUUAGUUUCAGUGAUACUAUUCGCCAUCUAUUCGGAGCAUCAGUUGUUAUCACCGACCAUAAUUUCCAGCAAACUCACAACAAUGUGAGUGUAGACAAGAUUUUCAUUCGAGAAGAAACUUACUUUUUAAUAUCAACUAUCUUUAUAUUCUUUGUGAUGCAAUAUCAUUUACCUCUUGUAUCCGCUCAAAAUAAGUUUCUUAUUCAUAAUUAUGGUUUUACCUUCAAUACUGUCAAACCUACAUGUCCAUGAAUACUUUCUACUCUAUCAUACUCCACUCUCUGAUAAAGGGGCCUUUUUACUGCAGGGACCUGUCUUACAAUUCUCUUAAUGUUGUUAGGCUUUUUUCUUGUAGUGUCUUCUGCUUGGUGCAGGAAAUGGCAGAGGUUGUGACGAAAGAUUUUGGAAGGAUUGACAUCUUUGUGCAUUCUCUUGCCAAUGGACCAGAGGUAACGAAGCCACUCUUGGAGACAUCUAGAAGAGGGUAUCUUGCUACAAUUUCAGCUUCGAGUUACUCUUUUGUCUCCCUGCUUCGGCACUUUCUUCCAAUAAUGAAUCCAGGUUUCUUUUGAUUCCAUGAAAACAAAACAAUUGCAUGUACCAUUUGUGUGUAUAUUUCAACUUGAGAUCCUGACAAGAACAUCAUUAUCAAUCCAUCAUUAUAUCUUCUUCUUUACGCACAGAAUAAAGCAAUGCUAGUAGUUAUAAUAAAACCCAAAAUAAAGUUAUCAAACAAUUCCUUUUCUUGUUGGCACAUAGAUUUUAUAUCUCAUCUUCACUUUGUUUUGGAUGCCUCCGUUAAACAUGGCAAGCGGUGCUUCAAUAUCUUUGACAUACAUAGCUUCCGAAAGGGCAAUCCCAGGAUACGAAGGUGGAAUGAGCUCAGCAAAAGCUGCAUUGGAGAGCGAUACAAAAGUGUUGGCUUUUGAACUGCACUUGCUUGCCACAAAGCAUCAGGUGCCCUCAAGAGUACUGGGAAGAAUGUCGACAAACUAAAAAAAUGGAGAGACUUUAACAAAUUAAGGAGCACUAGGAGCUGCAGUCCCUCCUCUUCACCGACAUCUAAGUAGAAAAUCUCGUGUUAUAUUGUUCUACCUUUGUUUUAAUAGUGUUAUCAUU